GGGUGAAUGGUCUAGGGGUAUGAUUUCUCUUUCGCACCACACGUGCUCUACUAGAGAAGGUCCGGGGUUCAAUUCCCCGUUCAUCCA
rnacentral:tRNA from 1 species